AUGACAAGCGUGACCAAAAACCAGUUUGGUUUCAUGCCUGGGAGGUCGACCAUGGAAGCCAUUUUCUUGGUACGACAGCUUAUGGAGAGAUAUAGGGAGCAAAAGAAGGACUUGCAUAUGGUGUUCAUUGACUUGGAGAAGGCCUAUGAUAAGAUACCGCGGAAUGUCAUGUGGUGGGCCUUGGAGAAACACAAAGUCCCAGCAAAGUACAUUACCCUCAUCAAGGACAUGUACGAUAAUGUUGUGACAAGUGUUCGAACAAGUGAUGUCGACACUGAUGACUUCCCGAUUAAGAUAGGACUGCAUCAGGGGUCAGCUUUGAGCCCUUAUCUUUUUGCAUUGGUGAUGGAUGAGGUCACAAGGGAUAUACAAGGAGAUAUCCCAUGGUGUAUGCUCUUUGCGGAUGAUGUGGUGCUAGUUGACGAUAGUCGGGCGGGGGUAAAUAGGAAGUUAGAGUUAUGGAGACAAACCUUG
rnacentral:rRNA from 1 species